rnacentral:rRNA from 1 species
GAAUUCGCCCUUAGAGUUUGAUCCUGGCUCAGGACGAACGCUGGCGGCGCGCCUAACACAUGCAAGUCGAACGGAGCUUAGAGAGCUUGCUUUUUAAGCUUAGUGGCGAACGGGUGAGUAACGCGUGAGGAACCUGCCUCAAAGAGGGGGACAACAGUUGGAAACGACUGCUAAUACCGCAUAAGCCCACAGGUCGGCAUCGACCAGAGGGAAAAGGAGCAAUCCGCUUUGAGAUGGCCUCGCGUCCGAUUAGCUAGUUGGUGAGGUAACGGCCCACCAAGGCAACGAUCGGUAGCCGGACUGAGAGGUUGAACGGCCACAUUGGGACUGAGACACGGCCCAGACUCCUACGGGAGGCAGCAGUGGGGAAUAUUGCACAAUGGGGGAAACCCUGAUGCAGCGACGCCGCGUGGAGGAAGAAGGUCUUCGGAUUGUAAACUCCUGUUGUUGAGGAAGAUAAUGACGGUACUCAACAAGGAAGUGACGGCUAACUACGUGCCAGCAGCCGCGGUAAAACGUAGGUCACAAGCGUUGUCCGGAAUUACUGGGUGUAAAGGGAGCGCAGGCGGGAAGACAAGUUGGAAGUGAAAUCUAUGGGCUCAACCCAUAAACUGCUUUCAAAACUGUUUUUCUUGAGUAGUGCAGAGGUAGGCGGAAUUCCCGGUGUAGCGGUGGAAUGCGUAGAUAUCGGGAGGAACACCAGUGGCGAAGGCGGCCUACUGGGCACCAACUGACGCUGAGGCUCGAAAGUGUGGGUAGCAAACAGGAUUAGAUACCCUGGUAGUCCACACCGUAAACGAUGAUUAC